GACGAACGCUGGCGGCGUGCCUAAUACAUGCAAGUAGAACGCACAGUUUAUACCGUAGCUUGCUACACCAUAGACUGUGAGUUGCGAACGGGUGAGUAACGCGUAGGUAACCUGCCUGGUAGCGGGGGAUAACUAUUGGAAACGAUAGCUAAUACCGCAUAAUAUUAAUUAUUGCAUGAUAAUUAAUUGAAAGGUGCAAUUGCACCACUACCAGAUGGACCUGCGUUGUAUUAGCUAGUAGGUGAGGUAACGGCUCACCUGGGCGACGAUACAUAGCCGACCUGAGAGGGUGAUCGGCCACACUGGGACUGAGACACGGCCCAGACUCCUACGGGAGGCAGCAGUAGGGAAUCUUCGGCAAUGGACGAAAGUCUGACCGAGCAACGCCGCGUGAGUGAAGAAGGUUUUCGGAUCGUAAAGCUCUGUUGUAAGAGAAGAACGGGUGUGAGAGUGGAAAGUUCACACUGUGACGGUAUCUUACCAGAAAGGGACGGCUAACUACGUG
rnacentral:rRNA from 1 species